AAUAGCGCGUUAGGUGGAGGAGUGGACCGGGGGAAAGCAACAAAUAAUUGCGUGCGCCCGGGGCACCCGUACCCGUGCACCGUAUAGGGCUGAUACUACAGAGUGCCGUGUACGAGUCGUUCCGGUGCACCGGGUGGAGGGUGGGCCAGGUAUUCGCGGAGUCCACGCACACCGAUCCAUCGAAGAUGCUGGAAGUCAUGGAGGCGUCGAAUGGGAUGGGUUUAAGACCGAGUCCGAGAAAAGCUGAACCGGUACGCGCCUGUCCGCUGCGCCACCACGUUUACCAAAAUUUAAGUUAAUUUUUGCGCCACCACAUUUGUGCAUUCACUUCUUACUAAUAGUAAUAAUACUUAUUAUUAUACACCGGCAAAAAGUCAUCCAUCCUUCUAAAAUACAAUACAAACCUACCAUUAAAGAAGGGUAUAUAGUAAACUAAUUAUUGGAUUAAAAUUGAAGAAUGAAUGAUGUGAUGGCUUACAAAUGGUUGGCAAGCACUUGGACAACCAAUUUUCUGUAUAAUUAAACUAUAAUUAGUUCACUAAAACUGAGUUUACUAGCAUUUUUUAAUUAUUAUUGUCCUCGUUAAGUCAUCACAGAAAAAGUUUUAUUUCAAUCAUGUACCUAGGCUAGCUGCUUAGGAUAUAAAACUGUGAGAAACGGCUCACGGCCAUUGGAAAACAUCAUUAUAUGAGAUCUCGAUUCCUGCCUGAAUAUCUCUUCAACUAAGUAAAUAAUAGGCUACCACAGAUAUGAGAAUAUCGCAUGUCCUCUANCUGUUAUUACUGUUGGUAUUUUCUGAUGAUUUGCUUUACCCUUUUUUUUUUUUUUUUUUUCUCCGACGGCUUCAGAUCUAAUAUAAACAAAAGGUCCUAAGUGUAACUAAUUCAACCUUUAUUAUCCAUUGCAGGACCACGAAACAAUAGAGGAGGUAGUUGACCAGCUGAUUCACCCACCCUCUUCUCUGGUAGCAUUACUCUGUGCAUAACACUUGAGCAUUUCAUCUAAAUAUUCACGA
rnacentral:lncRNA from 1 species